AUUAUUUUGGACUGCGUGCUAAAUUUAAAGGUUGUUUUGAAAAAGAUAAGUAUGCGCUGAGUUCAAUGUACUGAUAUUUGUUCGAAAUAGUAUUAAUAUUUUUUUAUGAAAUAAAUAAACUUUAUCAGAUUGUUUUAGUUUUAGUACUAUUUAUUUUUUUUUAAAUGAAGAAAUUUAAAAUUAGAUCCAAAUACAAGAUAGUAAUAUGAAAAUAUAAAAUAAACAAGAUAUAAGAAGUGAUUCCAUAAUGCUUUCAUGUGCUAUACGCAUUACAUUUAGUAAAAUGUGCUAUAUUUCACUGUUUUCUUGUGAAAGCUUGUUUACGUAACUUACAAAAUGGAUGUUGAGUACUUUGUUCAAAAAGAAACAGAAACAUAAACAUCUAUUUGUUACGAGAUUUAUAUAAAAAAAAAGAUUUCAUGUACUUUUCUAUAACAAUGCAUUGAUAUAAAAGUAAGAUAUGACGAUAUAGCUAUACUUGAGAUCUUGUUAAUGCACUUACACCUAGAUAAGAUCUUAUUAAUGCACAGAGUUUUGGGAUAUGAGAUUAUUCUAAUGAGAACGCAAUGGAAAUGCUCUAGUGUCUCUUGUAAUUUUUUUGUUGUUCGGUCUAACUGUCUAAGUCUUCACAUUAAAAUUUAAUUAAUUAUUUUGAUAUUUUUUUCACAGUUCUUUGGUCAAUUCUUGAAUUGCUUAUGUUUACAAAAUUGUUUUGUUCAAAGUUCAAACCUAAACAUUAGGUAAUAUUUAACAAAAAAUAUAUAUUUUUGUAUAUUUAUGGACUCAAUGUAAUAAAUAUUUGAUAUCUAUAAAUGAGAUUUUUACUCGUAUAAUUUUAUGAUUAUUUGUAUCUUCUUGUAACAAAAAAAUUAAACUAUUGAUCACAAUAAUUUUAAUGUAGAGCCUUUAAUAUUUUAGUAAUUUAUAAUCGUUAAAAUUAAAAAUACACAUAUACAAAAAAAAACUAAUUUUAUUAUAUAAUUAAUAUAAUUGUUUAAUUUAUUUAAUAAUAUAAAUUAAAAAAAUUGAUUGAAGAUAUACAAAUUGUUAACAAAUCAUUCUUUUUAUCAUUAAUUCUCAUAUUUAUUGAAAAUCACAUUAGAUAAUUAUGUGACUUUUAUUUAAGAAAAGAUGAAGUAGAUUUUCUUUUAACAUUUGAGUAAUGAGUAGUCCACUUUAUUAUAUAUUAUGACAGUUAAGAGCAUCAGAUUGAAAAGAAUUGUAAUGUUAACACAUACACAUUGUAAUCAAUGUUACAACUUAAAAGAUGAUUCUCAGUUAAUAUAUAAAAGAUAAUUAAGAAUGUUCCACUUUACUAUAUAUUAUGACAGUUGAGAACAUCAGAUUGAAAAAAUUUGUAAUGUUGACAAAUAAGCAUUGUAAUCAAUGUUAUAACUUAAAAGAUAAUUCUCAAUUAAUAUAUAAGAGAUUUUCUAUAUUUGUUGUUGACUAAAUAUAUUUUUAAAACUAAAAGAAUUUUUUUGUUAUAUUUGACAAAGAAAAUACUUAUUGGUAUGUUUGUGUUCUUAUAUGUAAUCAGAAUGUGCGAAGAAAAAUCAUAAGAAGCAAAAGAGAAUAACUGAAAAACAAUCCAAAAAUUUAGAGAUAAAAUAAAAAUGGCUACUACAAGGAAGACUUUAAUCACAUUGGUUUUUACUAUCCUUUUUCUCGAAUCUUCUUUUCAUUGUCGUUCUAUAGCCAGCGCUCUUACUCCAGAUAAUGGUUAUGGAGAAAUUAAGUCAGAGAUUUGCUUCACCGUCUUGUCACCGUGUAAUUGGCGACAUCCCAAUGGGGAAGCAAUGUGCAAUGACUAUUGUAGGAGAGAUAAAAACAAGUCCGGACAUUGUAAUGCUCAUUCUCAAUGUUGUUGUGUUUUUUAAGUAUGUGUCCAAGAUGAAAUCAUCUUAUCAUAAGUUUUUAAAUAUCUAUAACAGAAGAUCUAGAAUAAAAUAAACAACAUUUACCA